UACGUAGGGGCCUAGCGUUGUCCGGAUUUAUUGGGCGUAAAGAGCUCGUAGGCGGCUCGUCGCGUCGGCCGUGAAAACCUAGGGCUUAACCCUGGGCUUGCGGUCGAUACGGGCGGGCUAGAGUUCGGUAGGGGAGACUGGAAUUCCUGGUGUAGCGGUGAAAUGCGUAGAUAUCUGGAGGAACACCGGUGGCGAAGGCGGCAUCCUGGACCGGCAUUGACGCUGAGGCGCGAAAGCCAGGGGAGCAAACGGG
rnacentral:rRNA from 1 species